AACGAACGCUGGCGGCAGGCCUAACACAUGCAAGUCGAACGUGAAGCCACCUUCGGGUGGUGGAAAGUGGCAGACGGGUGAGUAACGCGUGGAACGUGCCUUCGGUUCGGGAUAACCCAGGGAAACUUGGGCUAAUACCGGAUACGCCCUCCGGGGGAAAGAUUCAUCGCCGAAAGAUCGGCCCGCGUCGGAUUAGCUAGUUGGUGGGGUAAUUGCCUACCAAGGCGACGAUCCGUAGCUGGUCUGAGAGGAUGAUCAGCCACACUGGGACUGAGACACGGCCCAGACUCCUACGGGAGGCAGCAGUGGGGAAUAUUGGACAAUGGGCGCAAGCCUGAUCCAGCCAUGCCGCGUGGGUGAAGAAGGCCCUAGGGUUGUAAAUCCCUUUCAGCGGGGAAGAUAAUGACGGUACCCGCAGAAGAAGCCCCGGCUAACUCCGUG
rnacentral:rRNA from 1 species